rnacentral:rRNA from 1 species
GCUAGUAAUGGCAGGUCAGCAUACUGCCGUGAAUACGUUCCCGGGCCUUGUACACACCGCCCGUCACACCAUGAGAGUUGGGAAUACCCGAAGCCUGUGAGCUAACUUUUAGAGGCAGUAGUCGAAGGUAGAAUCAAUGAUUGGGGUGAAGUCGUAACAAGGUAGC